rnacentral:rRNA from 1 species
AACGAACGCUGGCGGCAGGCCUAACACAUGCAAGUCGAGCGAGCAUUUCGGUGCUAGCGGCGGACGGGUGAGUAACGCGUGGGAACGUGCCCUUUUCUGCGGAAUAGUCCUGGGAAACUGGGGGUAAUACCGCAUACGCCCUUUUGGGGAAAGAUUUAUCGGGGAAGGAUCGGCCCGCGUUGGAUUAGGUAGUUGGUGGGGUAAUGGCCCACCAAGCCGACGAUCCAUAGCUGGUUUGAGAGGAUGAUCAGCCACACUGGGACUGAGACACGGCCCAGACUCCUACGGGAGGCAGCAGUGGGGAAUCUUAGACAAUGGGGGCAACCCUGAUCUAGCCAUGCCGCGUGAGUGAUGAAGGCCUUAGGGUUGUAAAGCUCUUUCAGCUGGGAAGAUAAUGACGGUACCAGCAGAAGAAGCCCCGGCUAACUCCGUG